GGCACAAGCUUGAGGUAGAGUAGUUUAGUAGGGUUAGCCGGUCCUACUAAUCUACUCUACCUCAAAUUUGGGCCC
rfam:Haemonchus placei strain MHpl1 genome assembly, scaffold: HPLM_scaffold0000157